CCUACGGGAGGCAGCAGUGGGGAAUUUUGGACAAUGGGCGAAAGCCUGAUCCAGCAAUGCCGCGUGAGUGAAGAAGGCCUUCGGGUUGUAAAGCUCUUUUGUCAGGGAAGAAACGGUGAAAGCUAAUAUCUUUUGCUAAUGACGGUACCUGAAGAAUAAGCACCGGCUAACUACGUGCCAGCAGCCGCGGCAAUACGUAGGGUGCAAGCGUUAAUCGGAAUUACUGGGCGUAAAGCGUGCGCAGGCGGUUUUGUAAGUCUGAUGUGAAAUCCCCGGGCUCAACCUGGGAAUUGCAUUGGAGACUGCAAGGCUAGAAUCUGGCAGAGGGGGGUAGAAUUCCACGUGUAGCAGUGAAAUGCGUAGAUAUGUGGAGGAACACCGAUGGCGAAGGCAGACCCCCUGGGUCAAGAUUGACGCUCAUGCACGAAAGCGUGGGGAGCAAACAGGAUUAGAUACCCUGGUAGUCCACGCCCUAAACGAUGUCUACUAGUUGUCGGGUCUUAAUUGACUUGGUAACGCAGCUAACGCGUGAAAGUAGACCGCCUUGGGGAGUACGGUUGCAAAGNUUAAAACCUUAAAGGAAUUUGACCGGNGNGAGAGNGCGAGACGACGACGAGGGAGAGG
rnacentral:rRNA from 1 species